GGAUCUGUGGUCUAGAGGUAUGAUUCUCGCUUUGGGUGCGAGAGGUCCCGGGUUCAAUCCCCGGCAGGUCCC
rnacentral:tRNA from 1 species